GUUGAACGCUGGCGGCGUGCCUAAUACAUGCAAGUCGAGCGAUCAGACGAGGCGCUUUCCUCUCUGACGUUAGCGGCGGACGGGUGAGUAACACGUGGAGAACCUAGCUAUAUGACUGGGAUAACCUCGGGAAACCGGAGCCAAUACCGGAUAAACUAUUGAACCGCAUGGUUCAAUACUGAAAGACGGUUUUGCUGCCACUUCUAGAUGGAGCCGCGACGCAUUAGCUAGUUGGUAAGGUAACGGCUUACCAAGUCAACGAUGCGUAGCCGACCUGAGAGGGUGAUCGGCCACACUGGAACUGAGACACGGUCCAGACUCCUACGGGAGGCAGCAGUGGGGAAUCUUCCGCAAUGGGCGCAAGCCUGACGGAGCAACGCCGCGUGAGUGAUGAAGGUCUUCGGAUCGUAAAACUCUGUUAUUAGGGAAGAACAAAUGUGUAUUUAACUAUGCGCGUCUUGACGGUACCUGAACAGAAAGCCACGGCUAACUACGUG
rnacentral:rRNA from 1 species